UACGGAGGGCGCAAGCGUUGUUCGGAAUCACUGGGCGUAAAGCGCGGGUAGGCGGCCGAGGAAGUCGGAUUUGAAAUCCCGAGGCUCAACCUCGGAACUGCAUUCGAAACUGCUCGGCUUGAGUCCUGUAGAGGAUGGCGGAAUUCCCGGUGUAGGGGUGAAAUCCGUAGAUAUCGGGAGGAACACCAGUUGCGAAGGCGGCCAUCUAGACGGUUACUGACGCUGAGACGCGAAAGCGUGGGGAGCAAACAGG
rnacentral:rRNA from 1 species